AUAAGAGGUCCAGCCUGCCCAGUGACAAAAUUCAACGGCCGCGGUACCCUAACCGUGCAAAGGUAGCAUAAUCACUUGUCCCCUAAAUAGGGACUAGCAUCAACGGCACCACGAGGGCUGUACUGUCUCUUUUCUCUAAUCAGUGAAACUGAUCUCCCCGUGAAAAAGCGGGCAUAGACCUAUAAGACGAGAAGACCCCAUGGAGCUUUAAGUAACGUUUUCACCCCCGACUCUACUACACCAACUAAAUAUAGCAGGCAUGAUUACUAACCUUAGGUUGGGAGGACCGCGGAGUAUAACUAAACCUCCACAACAAAAAGGUUCCACCUUUAUCUACGAGUCACAACUCUAAGAAUUAAAAUAUUAAUGUCCAAUGACCCGACAAUUCGAUCAACGAACCAAGUUACCCUGGGGAUAACAGCACAAUCUGCUUAAAGAGCCCAUAUCGACAAGCAGGUUUAUGACCUCGAUGUUGGAUCAGGGUAUCCCAGUGGUGCAGCCGCUACUAUAGGUUUGUUUGUUCAACAAUUAAAACCCUAC
rnacentral:rRNA from 1 species